rnacentral:piRNA from 1 species
UCCAAGAGCAAACAGCAGAUCUGGUGUCU